UACAGUGAAACUGCGGAUGGCUCAGUAAAACAGUGUGAAUCCCCAGGGCGGUUUCCGCGGUUGUCCCUUCGGGGGCGGUCGCUCUACAAGGAUAACUGUGGAAACUCCAGAGCUAAUACUUGAACCGGGUGGGGCAACCCACCGGGCUUAUCAGUCGCGCACGUCCGGCGUCAAACCCGGGCGUGUCUGGUGAAUCAUGGUAAACCCAGAUCGAAGAGCCGUACGGCGUCGACUCGCUCCUCGAGUCUCUGACCUAUCAGCCUUCGACGCUACUAUAAAGUACUAGCAGGGCAGUCACGGGUGACGGGGAAUUAGUGUUCGAUUCCGGAGAGGGAGCCUGAGAAAUGGCUACCAUGUCCAUGGACAGCAGCAGGCGCGCAAAUUACCCAAUCCUAAUGCAAGGGAGGUAGUGAAGAGAAAUACCGACGUCCCGCCCUGCGGGAGGUUCGGAAUGGUGACAAUUUAAACCACUUACAGAGUAUCGAUUGGAGGGCAAGUCUGGUGCCAGCAGCCGCGGUAAUUCCAGCUCCAAUAGUAUAUAUUAAAGUUGUUGCAGUUAAAAAGCUCGUAGUUGGCUCUUCGGGCGGGCCGGUCUCUGCGGGCGUCACCCGCGUCCGCGUCCCCGUCGGCUCCGGCCGUCGGACGGCGCGGCGCUUCAGGUGGCGCCCCUCGGCUUGGGCGACGGGCGUGGGGUCUGGGUUUACGCCCUCUCCUCCGCCCGCCGUCGGGUGCAGGGGCUUUCAAGAAUCCGAAACCGGCCGCAAGGUCGCAGUAGGGUUCGAGGUCCGCUCGAAAGUGGGGUCGCUCUCCCGGUUUCGGCCGGGGUCAAGGGGUCAGGCCUCAACGGCACCGUGAGGAAAUCACAGUGUUCAAAGCAGACGUUUUCGUUAGUGAGUGUCUUAGCAUGGUACGCCGGCGUUAGUUUUCCGGGCGUCGGCGCGUGGGGCGACUCACGCGUCGGCGUCCGGGGGACGUGGUUAAUGGGGGUCUGGUCGGGGGCGUCUGUAUUGUGUCGCGAGAGGUGAAAUUCAUAGACCGACGCAAGACAACCUGCUGCGAAAGCGCACGCCCAGCACGCCUCCAUCAAUCAGGAACGAAAGUUAGGGGAUCGAAGACGAUCAGAUACCGUCGUAGUCCUAACCAUAAACGAUACCGACCAGGGAUUGGGUUGUGAACACAAUUCAAGACCUUCCCAGAACCUUUGAGGGAAACCAUUGAGUCUUUGGGUUCUGGGGGGAGUAUGGUCGCAAGGCUGAAACUUAAAGGAAUUGACGGAAGGGCACCACCAGGAGUGGAACCUGCGGCUUAAUUUGAC
rnacentral:rRNA from 1 species